rnacentral:rRNA from 1 species
UGGCCUUGACAUGCAGAGAACUUUCCAGAGAUGGAUUGGUGCCUGCUUGCAGGAGCUUUCAUACAGGUGCUGCACGGCUGUCGUCAGCUCGUGUCGUGAGAUGUUGGGUUAAGUCCCGCAACGAGCGCAACCCUCGUCGUUAGUUGCUAACAGUUCGGCUGAGAACUCUAACGAGACUACCUACGCAAGUAGGAGGAAGGUGAGGACGACGUCAAGUCAUCAUGGCCCUUACGACCAGGGCUACACACGUGCUACAAUGGGGUAUACAAAGAGCAGCAAUACGGUGACGUGGAGCGAAUCUCAAAAAUGCCUCCCAGUUCGGAUUGUAGUCUGCAACUCGACUACAUGAAGUUGGAAUCGCUAGUAAUCGUAGAUCAGCUAUGCUACGGUGAAUACGUUCCCGGGUCU